rnacentral:rRNA from 1 species
CGAAUGCUGACAUAAGUAACGAUAAAGCGGGUGAAAAGCCCGCUCGCCGGAAGACCAAGGGUUCCUGUCCAACGUUAAUCGGGGCAGGGUGAGUCGACCCCUAAGGCGAGGCCGAAAGGCGUAGUCGAUGGGAAACAGGUUAAUAUUCCUGUACUUGGUGUUACUGCGAAGGGGGGACGGAGAAGGCUAUGUUGGCCGGGCGACGGUUGUCCCGGUUUAAGCGUGUAGGCUGGUUUUCCAGGCAAAUCCGGAAAAUCAAGGCUGAGGCGUGAUGACGAGGCACUACGGUGCUGAAGCAACAAAUGCCCUGCUUCCAGGAAAAGCCUCUAAGCAUCAGGUAACAUCAAAUCGUACCCCAAACCGACACAGGUGGUCAGGUAGAGAAUACCAAGGCGCUUGAGAGAACUCGGGUGAAGGAACUAGGCAAAAUGGUGCCGUAACUUCGGGAGAAGGCACGCUGAUAUGUAGGUGAAGUCCCUCGCGGAUGGAGCUGAAAUCAGUCGAAGAUACCAGCUGGCUGCAACUGUUUAUUAAAAACACAGCACUGUGCAAACACGAAAGUGGACGUAUACGGUGUGACGCCUGCCCGGUGCCGGAAGGUUAAUUGAUGGGGUCAGCGCAAGCGAAGCUCUUGAUCGAAGCCCCGGUAAACGGCGGCCGUAACUAUAACGGUCCUAAGGUAGCGAAAUUCCUUGUCGGGUAAGUUCCGACCUGCACGAAUGGCGUAAUGAUGGCCAGGCUGUCUCCACCCGAGACUCAGUGAAAUUGAACUCGCUGUGAAGAUGCAGUGUACCCGCGGCAAGACGGAAAGACCCCGUGAACCUUUACUAUAGCUUGACACUGAACAUUGAGCCUUGAUGUGUAGGAUAGGUGGGAGGCUUUGAAGUGUGGACGCCAGUCUGCAUGGAGCCGACCUUGAAAUACCACCCUUUAAUGUUUGAUGUUCUAACGUGGACCCGUGAUCCGGGUUGCGGACAGUGUCUGGUGGGUAGUUUGACUGGGGCGGUCUCCUCCUAAAGAGUAACGGAGGAGCACGAAGGUUGGCUAAUCCUGGUCGGACAUCAGGAGGUUAGUGCAAUGGCAUAAGCCAGCUUGACUGCGAGCGUGACGGCGCGAGCAGGUGCGAAAGCAGGUCAUAGUGAUCCGGUGGUUCUGAAUGGAAGGGCCAUCGCUCAACGGAUAAAAGGUACUCCGGGGAUAACAGGCUGAUACCGCCCAAGAGUUCAUAUCGACGGCGGUGUUUGGCACCUCGAUGUCGGCUCAUCACAUCCUGGGGCUGAAGUAGGUCCCAAGGGUAUGGCUGUUCGCCAUUUAAAGUGGUACGCGAGCUGGGUUUAGAACGUCGUGAGACAGUUCGGUCCCUAUCUGCCGUGGGCGCUGGAGAACUGAGGGGGGCUGCUCCUAGUACGAGAGGACCGGAGUGGACGCAUCACUGGUGUUCGGGUUGUCAUGCCAAUGGCACUGCCCGGUAGCUAA